GACGAACGCUGGCGGCGUGCCUAAUACAUGCAAGUCGAGCGCAGGAAACUGACGGAACUCUUCGGAGGGAAGGCAGUGGAAUGAGCGGCGGACGGGUGAGUAACACGUAAGGAACCUGCCUCAAGGAUUGGGAUAACUCCGAGAAAUCGGAGCUAAUACCGGAUAGUUCAACGGACCGCAUGGUCCGCUGAUGAAAGGCGCUCCGGCGUCACCUUGAGAUGGCCUUGCGGUGCAUUAGCUAGUUGGUGGGGUAACGGCCCACCAAGGCGACGAUGCAUAGCCGACCUGAGAGGGUGAUCGGCCACACUGGGACUGAGACACGGCCCAGACUCCUACGGGAGGCAGCAGUAGGGAAUCUUCCACAAUGGACGAAAGUCUGAUGGAGCAACGCCGCGUGAGUGAUGAAGGUUUUCGGGUCGUAAAACUCUGUUGUAAGGGAAGAACACGUACGAGAGGGAAUGCUCGUACCUUGACGGUACCUUACGAGAAAGCCACGGCUAACUACGUGCCAGCCGCCGCGGUAACAC
rnacentral:rRNA from 1 species